UACGGGGGGGGCAAGCGUUGUUCGGAAUUACUGGGCGUAAAGGGCUCGUAGGUGGCCAACUAAGUCAGACGUGAAAUCCCUCGGCUUAACCGGGGAACUGCGUCUGAUACUGGAUGGCUUGAGUUUGGGAGAGGGAUGCGGAAUUCCAGGUGUAGCGGUGAAAUGCGUAGAUAUCAGGAGGAACACCGGUGGCGAAGGCGCCUAUCUGGCCCGAUACUGACGCUGAGGCGCGAAAGCUAGGGGAGCAAACGGG
rnacentral:rRNA from 1 species